CACCUUUUGGCUGUUGUAAGGCUUUACAAAUAAAAUUUGAUUGAUUGAUUGAUUGAUUGACAUAAUGAACUCUACCAAUGUCCCACAGUGAAAUUAUUAUGGCUUGCAGCAGUGGGUGUGGCUUCUGGAGUGGGCGUGUUCCUGGUGGGAUUGACAGUUGUCUGUCUCCGUAGGAAGACAAAGACGAAGGUAUAUUUAGUAAUAAACAGCCUAAUUUGUUUUACAGAAAGAAACAAAUCUCAGAGACCUCAAGCCCAACAGGAUGAUCAUAUCCAACAAAUUUUGAUGGAAACCAUGUGGAGUGGUGACAGGCAGUGUUCUGUCAGCCCCUCUGUACUGUCUACAUUCAUGCCCUCAGAUGGGUCCAUUCCAAAAAUCUCAAGUAACAAUAUGUUUUCAGUCAUCAAACUACUUUCGCCCACUCUCGAAAAUGAACAGGAUUUCACUUCCAUAUAUAGCCUUGGAAAAUAUGAAGAGACCCCUCCACCUUUUUGACAUUGUGGAGAACGUUUUAACACCGCGACGGAAAUGUGUGUAGGUCAAGGCUUUGAACGCAUGCACCGAAGAUCGAUGUUCACGUGGCUUCUGAGAAAUAUCUGCGUGUGAUAUAUUUGUUGAGUAAUAAUGCUGUGUAUUUAGAUUGUAUUUCUCAAUUUUUUACAUAUUUUCUAACUUUUGUGUAACUUUUCUGAAUU